GUGCCAGCAGCCGCGGUAAUACGUAGGUGGCAAGCGCUAUCCGGAAUUAUUGGGCGUAAAGCGCGCGUAGGCGGUUUUUUAAGUCUGAUGUGAAAGCCCACGGCUCAACCGUGGAAGGUCAUUGGAAACUGGAAAACUUGAGUGCAGAAGAGGAAAGUGGAAUUCCAUGUGUAGCGGUGAAAUGCGCAGAGAUAUGGAGGAACACCAGCGGCGAAGGCGACUUUCUGGUCUGUAACUGACGCUGAUGUGCGAAAGCGUGGGGAUCAAACAG
rnacentral:rRNA from 1 species